AUUGAACGCUGGCGGAAUGCUUUACACAUGCAAGUCGAACGGCAGCACGGGAGCUUGCUCCUGGUGGCGAGUGGCGAACGGGUGAGUAACAUAUCGGAACGUACCCAGUCGUGGGGGAUAACUAUCCGAAAGGAUAGCUAAUACCGCAUACGUCCUGAGGGAGAAAGCGGGGGAUCGCAAGACCUCGCGCGAUUGGAGCGGCCGAUAUCGGAUUAGCUAGUUGGUGGGGUAAAGGCUCACCAAGGCGGCGAUCCGUAGCGGGUCUGAGAGGACGACCCGCCACACUGGAACUGAGACACGGUCCAGACUCCUACGGGAGGCAGCAGUGGGGAAUUUUGGACAAUGGGGGCAACCCUGAUCCAGCCAUUCCGCGUGAGUGAAGAAGGCCUUCGGGUUGUAAAGCUCUUUCAGCAGGAACGAAACGGUCGGCUUUAAUAAAAUCGGCUAAUGACGGUACCUGCAGAAGAAGCACCGGCUAACUACGUG
rnacentral:rRNA from 1 species